rnacentral:rRNA from 1 species
UACGUAGGGGGCAAGCGUUGUCCGGAUUUAUUGGGCGUAAAGAGCGUGUAGGCGGUUUGGUAGGUCCGCUGUGAAAACUCGAGGCUCAACCUCGAGACGCCGGUGGAAACCAUCAGACUAGAGUCCGGAAGAGGAGAGUGGAAUUCCUGGUGUAGCGGUGAAAUGCGCAGAUAUCAGGAAGAACACCCGUGGCUAAGGCGGCUCACUGGCCCGGUACUGACGCUGAGGUGCGAAAGCCGUGGGGGAGCAAACAGG